CACACAGAUGUUCCCUCUGCCGGUGGCCAAUGGGAAGGGCCGGCCGGCCUCCCUGGUAGGAGCCCAGUUUGGAGGCUCAGUGUCUUUGAUUGGAUUAUGUUCAAGGAUACACAGCCUCUUGUCUUUUAAGUACAUUUAAGAGUUCAUUUCCCAGCUUUGACAAUUCAGCUCAGCAGUUUCAACAGGGAGACACUUAUUUCUGCUAAUGUUUAACUAAAAUGUGAGAAGAAUUGGCUCAAUAUUGUGGAGCAGGAGAGCUGGAAGGCAAGACGGAGACCUCCUCCCACACUCACACCAAGGAAGCAAUUACAGCAAACACAACUAACCUGGAAAACGACCUGAAGACUGCAGGACAGACCACCUACUCCUGGGGAAGGAGAGGAGCCACACAGAAAAGGGUAAAGUGGCAGAUCCACAAUCAACUGGGACCCCAGCCCUUCCCCCAUCCCAGCCUACAGGCAGCAGGAAGAGGAACAGCGGGAGGGGACAGGUGCCCAGGAACUCUGCACAUCUGGCCCUGGAGAUAUGCUCCAGGAACAUGAGUCCACAUUGCAUUGGGUUCUGGUGAUUAGCAGACUGGACACAAGAGACAGGUGGAACACUCUGGGAGGCUGCAUGUGGAGAACCCAGCUGCAUGUGGAGGACAGGCACGCUCCCCUUUUCCCACUGAGACCCAACACAGAGGCAGCAGUUUGAGAGACGUGCCCGCAGCGGGAGGGGAGUCAGAGGAGUGAGGGUUGGACAGAGCUCUCUCUGCAGGAGAAAGGGCAGGUGGACAAUACCUCCCCAGUCCUCCCUUGUCUCAACAGCUCAGGCGCUCUCAGGAGCCCAAGACACCCCAUCCCCUCACUGCCAGCUCAGCCUGGCCGCUCCUGGGAGCCAUUUAUAAGAAGUGCGCUGCAUCCGCCCCCUCCCGCGUCUUCCCAGCCUGGCUAAUCUAAUCGCGUUUCCCAGGCUGCAAUUAAUAACCCCCAAGCGGCCCCAAAACGAGGCUCUCAUAAAGGGCCAGCAGCUCCCAUCGGCGGGGAAGGGGCCCAUACUUUCCCAGAGCCUGCCAAGGGGGAGAUGGCCCCUGGGGAACACAGCAGGGUGCAGCCCUGCUUCCAGGCUGUGCGACCUUGGGCCAGCAGCCUGAUGUCUCUCAGCCAUGGGUAUCCCCUCUGAAAAUGUGGAGCCCACGAGGCCUACUGCAAACCUCCAUAUCUGCAUCUUCCCCCAUUGCCCGGGUGGGGAAACUGAGUCUCAGAAAGGGGUGGGAGCAGACGAGGCAUUGUACAUAUGCUGCUGCCCCCACUGGCGUCCCCGCUCAGUUCCCCACACCCUCCCUGCCCUGUCUGAGGAACCUCUGUCCUAACCCCACAGUGUUUUCCCCCCAACCCAGACACCCAGGCCUGACCCCACUUCCUUAUCACCUUCAGGGUCCUUGUCAGGGCUGCAAGGGUGAGAGGCAAUUGAUGGAGCAGCUGACCCCUUGACCACAGUUGCCAAGGAGAUGGUCCUAGGGGACUGGGGGUGGGCCGGGCGGUGAAAUUGGCCCGGGCCGGGGGUAGAGGGGGUAGGGUGGCAGAAGGACAGAGAGGGAAAGAGGAAGGGAGCCACAGCAACAGUGAACAGUCUUCACACUAGAGCUCCCUGGGCAGCCUGUCAGCUAUGCUUAUAGCUGCAGGGUGGGGUCUGAAACCAGUAUUCACCCAUCCUUGGAGGUCCACCUGUGAUGAGCCACAACUACAGGCUCCUGUCUGCAGACUUGGCCUGGAAGCCCAGAGGCAACAGCCCCCACAAAAGGUCUCUCCACAGCUCUGUGAGCAUUGGGGCACCCUGCCUGUGCUCCCUGGUGGCCUCUCCUCUAUUCAUGCCCAAGAGACUAGGGAAGGUGUCCCAGAAGAGGGGCCAAUAAGGGAGGGUCCCGCUGGAUGAAUAGGAGUUCUAGAGGGUGGAGUGGGAAGCGUACGGAGGUGGGACCUUGGGAGUGAAGAUGCAGUGGGUGGGUAGGGUAUCAGGUAGGGUCCCUGCUGGGCUUAGCAACUGCCUUAAUGGUGAACCUCCACCCAGGGCUGGUGGGCUGUAGCUGGGUUGUUGGAGGCAGGCAGGCAUAAAUUUCCCAUAAUCAUGGGGCUUCUGGGCUGUUCAUGGGGUUCCCAAAGGGUGACAGACAUCAACUGUGCCUUUAUGAGCUCAGCCCUUCAUGGGGCUACAAGCAGCAGCCAUAUCGGGACCGGGACGGCAAGGGAAAGAAACCCUUGGUGGGUGAGAGGACCGCUUGGGAGCCAGCGCUAACACAGGGUGAUCUGUGCCAUGGACACGCACGUGUGCGGACAUGAGUAAACAUGCCAGAGCAUGUUCGCCAGGACAUGCGCAGGCACGGAUAUGCUGGACAGCACAUGGAAACGUGUGCGGGGGCCCAGUGCCUCAGGGCAGGGAACAGAUCAAACAGGAGCAAAAUGCGCCACGAGACCUGAGAGUGACCCGCACGUGCGAACACGCCGGGACCGUGUGGACAGCGCGCGCGCACACGCGCCAAGCCCAGGGGCGACAUGCACAUGCCCAGUCCACUGGAGUGCGCGCCCACUUGUGCACCCACGCGGAGCCCGGGCACGCGCAUGCGCACAUGGCGCCCGCGAGCUGCGGGCGCCCCGUAGGUCUCCGGACAUCUCGCGUUCUCUUGUGGACACCUGCUACGGCCAGUGCAGGCGUACAGUAGUACGCAGGUCUGGCUGGGGGGGAUCCCAUGGGAGGGCUCAGGACCAGAUCAGGACGAGCCAGUGGAGCCCGCAUUACUUUCCUCCGGGUUGAAGCUUCUCCACCCCGCCCAUGGGUUCCCGUGUGUCUGGGUCCGGGGGAGUCGAACCCGGCUCUACAUCCCCCAACCCGGGGCGUCCUGGGGGGUUCCCCAGUGCGGGGUGGGCUCCAUGGGGAGGGGACGCCCGGAAGACCUGCAGCCUCACCCCGGGGUGGGCGCGCAAGUGCGCACCUUGGGCCUGAGUCUGCCGCCCUCUGACAACAGCCUCAGCCGCCAGUGGGAGGGGAGGUGCUGGGAGGACUCUGCGUGACCGCAGCUCCUGACCUUGCCGCUCUGUGCCUCAGUUUCCCAGUUUAGCGAUGGCGACGUGGAGGUGACCUGACUGGACACAUGCGUGGUACAGGAUGGCAUGGGGUGCACAGAGGGUCCCGCAGGAGAGGUGAUGUGCAAAGAGGAAGGGCCGGUAGUGAUGCCGGGGUUCUUGUUUGCAGAUUCGAAGAAUGAACUUAGCAAACACCCGAGGUAGGAGAGCCAAAAAGAGGCUUUUAUUUAGAGAUACAGAGAGAGGACAGAGCUCCAAGGCACAAGAGAGCCCGUAGUGCGUUGUCUAGGGGUUUUAUAGGCAGUUGAGGAUUUGGGGGAAUCGGAUAACGGACUUAGGGGUGCGGGCUUGUUAAGUGGUCCCUGAAUAUUUAGAAUUAACAACACAAGGAACUUCCUGCUCUGAUUUCUCCUUGAGAUACCAGCGUCUUGGUCUGGGACCAAGGUGGGCUAAGGUAUUGUCUGUUUGCUAAAGAGUAAGUUAAGAAUCUUACUUCUUACAAUGUGGCGGGAGGGGGGCGCAUGGGGAGGGCUGUGCAACACAGAGAAGACAAGUAGUGAUUCUACAGCAUCUUACUACACUGAUGGACAGUACUGUAAUG